AAUGGAUGCCGGCUUCUCUCUCUCUCUCUCUCGCUCUCUCUCUCUCCAUAAUCCUGUUGUUCUUUUGGGGUAAAUGUGAGUGAGCACCCCAGAUACGUCAUUGAGGGUGUUGUCAUUCCAAGGUCCCUUUAGUGGGGUGGGGGACGGGACUCAUGUUUUGACAGUAAUCCAGCCAGUUCUCUCACUGCCUUUUUGCUAAAUAUCUUUACCUUUGUAGUCCAGGCCUGGAGAGUGAUGGGCAGGGACUUCAUGCUAUUGUGAAAAAGGUGUGUGUAGGUAAAAUGGGCAAGUAAUUUUUAUUUUAAUAAUUCACAACUUAUUCAGUGUGAAUCAGAAAAACAUAUUUUAUAGUGGCUUUGCAUUUGUGUUGGAAUGUAAAGUUUCCUACCUAUGUAAAUGUAUUGAUAUGAAACAAAAUAAUUGAUUUGAGGAGAAUAUUUAGGCAGUGAUGGUGUGGGCACUAUGAAUAUGUGACAACAGUGUUGGCACAAAUGGGUUUCAACUUGGAAUCCAUUGUUGAUUUCCUACCGUACAGUCCUUCCUAGCCUCCCACACCCCAGCCUAGUCUUAAGUUGAAAACUAGAAAUGCCUGGUACUUGCUUUCCUUGGGUCCCUCCCAGCUAGUGAGUGAGUAUGGCACCCAAUUCUGCUCAGUAGUACUUGAGGGAAAGACUGGGCAGGGCUUCUAGGGAGGGUUCUAGGAAGGGCGCUUUUCCAGUUGACUUGUGGGGUUCCGUGUGUGAGGACAUAAUGCUUGGGGUUGUGGCAGCCUUUUUGGGUCAGUGAGGAAGACACUGCUGACAGCCUAAAUAUGACAAAAAAAAAAGGAGAGUUGAGGGGAUGUGGGUCAUUGAUUACCCCAAGGAGCCAUGGAGCAAGCUCUGAAUUGACAGGAUCCCCUGUAAAUGGGAUUCUCACAGGAAGCUCUUCUUGGUAAGACCUUGAUGUGUAGUGUUUUCACAGGCAGUUGAAGCUGUCCUACCUAAUGGGGCUGUCCUCAGUGUCUCCUCCCCACCCUCCAGUGCCCAGUAACAGACCUCAUCAAACACACUCCACAAGGAAGCAUCACCCCAACAGCUUUCUGGAACUUCCCCCGUAGCUUUGUCUCCAUGACUAGUCCGAAUGCCUACGUAGACCUGACCGCUGACCUCAGCCUGCCCAUGGUCAGUGAUGUCUACCUCUGGCACUGAAUUUAUUCAACUCCUGCUGACCUGCUGCUGCUGGUGGUCAUCUGCUAUUUGGCUACAAAUCAGGAGGCUCUGCUGUUACCAUAGCAACGGGAGCUCUCCAGGCUUGUGCCUUGUAUACUUGGCUUGGAAGAUGUGGGGUUGAGAACUCCGAGAAGCAUGGAACAGCCCAAGCCCUUGCGGGUCUCUGUUUGCAGAGACAAAGCCCGGCAUCUUUUGGCAUGUCCUUUUGGAUCUUCCUCUCUGACCCUCUUGAGUGUGAUUCUUUCUGUCAUUCACAGGAAGAGAUGACAGGAAUUCCUUCAAAGGAAUUCCAGCAGGGACU